rnacentral:rRNA from 1 species
UACAGAGGUGGCAAGCGUUGUUCGGAAUUACUGGGCGUAAAGGGCGCGUAGGCGGCUUGGUCAGUCCCGUGUGAAAUCCCUCGGCUCAACUGAGGAACUGCACGGGAAACUGCCUGGCUUGAGUUCGGGAGAGGGAAGCGGAAUUCCGGGUGUAGAGGUGAAAUUCGUAGAUAUUCGGAGGAACACCAGUGGCGAAGGCGGCACACUGGUCCGGUACUGACGCUGAGGUGCGAAAGCGUGGGGAGCAAACAGG